GAUAAACGCUAGCGGCAGGCUUAACACAUGCAAGUCGAGGGGCAGAAUAGAUUGUAGCAAUACAAUUGGUGGCGACCGGCGCACGGGUGCGUCACGCGUAUGCAACCUACCCGGCACAGGGGGAUAAUCCGGAGAAAUCUGGUCUAAUACCCCAUAACAUAUGGAUCGGCAUCGGUUCAUGUUGAAAUUUUCGGAGGUGACGGAUGGGCAUGCGUAGCCUUAGCUUGUUGGUGAGGUAACGGCUCACCAAGGCGACGAUGCUUAGGGGGACUGAGAGGUAUUCCCCCCACACGGGUACUGAGACACGGGCCAGACGCCUACGGGAGGCAGCAGUGAGGAAUAUUGGUCAAUGGGCGCAAGCGUGAACCAGCCAGGCCUCUUGCAUGAUGACGGCUCUAUGAGUUGUAAACUGCUUUUGUACUAGGGUAAAGUGGGUUACGUGUAACCUUUUGAAAGUAUCGAACGAAGAAGGAUCGGCUAACUCCGUGCCAGCCGCCGCAGUAA
rnacentral:rRNA from 1 species